rnacentral:rRNA from 1 species
GGGCUCAGGAGCACGCUGACGGCCUGCUUAACACAUGCAAGUCGAACGAUGAAGCCCAGCAUGCUCGGAUGACUAGUGGCGAACGGGUGAGUAACACGUGAGUAACGUGCCCUUAACUCUGGGAUAAGCGUGGGAAACUGGGUCUAAUACCGGAUAGGAGCGUCCACCGCAUGGUGGGUGUUGGAAAGAUUUAUCGGUUUUGGAUGGACUCGCGGCCUAUCAGCUUGUUGGUGAGGUAAUGGCUCACCACGGCGACGACGGGUAGCCGGCCUGAGAGGGUGACCGGCCACACUGGGACUGAGACACGGCCCAGACUCCUACGGGAGGCAGCAGUGGGGAAUAUUGCACAAUGGGCGAAAGCCUGAUGCAGCGACGCCGCGUGAGGGAUGACGGCCUUCGGGUUGUAAACCUCUUUCAGUAGGGAAGAAGCGAAAGUGACGGUACCUGCAGAAGAAGCACCGGCUAACUACGUGCCAGCAGCCGCGGUAAUACGUAGGGUGCGAGCGUUAUCCGGAAUUAUUGGGCGUAAAGAGCUCGUAGGCGGUUUGUCGCGUCUGUCGUGAAAGUCCGGGGCUUAACCCCGGAUCUGCGGUGGGUACGGGCAGACUAGAGUGCAGUAGGGGAGACUGGAAUUCCUGGUGUAGCGGUGGAAUGCGCAGAUAUCAGGAGGAACACCGAUGGCGAAGGCAGGUCUCUGGGCUGUAACUGACGCUGAGGAGCGAAAGCAUGGGGAGCGAACAGGAUUAGAUACCCUGGUAGUCCAUGCCGUAAACGUUGGGCACUAGGUGUGGGGACCAUUCCACGGUUCCGCGCCGCAGCUAA